ensembl:lincRNA A730082K24Rik RIKEN cDNA A730082K24 gene
CGCAAGUUCUAUGGGGUCUCAUAGAUGUGGAAGAUGAUAGUGUAGUGGUAGAUCUGCCCAAUCUAGGCACACAACAUAUAUUCAUAUUAAUUGUGUUGUGUUUUCAUUGCCCGGGCAUAUUUGGGUUGGAGAUUUACCGCAACACCCUUUUGACCUUGUUCAGUAUGUUGUAAUGCCAAUUCUCCAGAACAACUUAUUUUCUAUACCUCAGUGUCUAAGGCAGUACCUUCCCUGGCAAUGGUGCAGAAUUAAGAAGUCAGUUUCAAAUGGAGAACCAGAGACAGAGCUAUUUAACCAGAAUUGCCAGAGCAUCUUCCCAAAGUUGUUUCAAUGGCCACACACAGAAGCAAGACCUGCAGGAAAGGCCCAUCACAUUAUGAACCCCUCCGUUGAUUCAUCCAAUGAAGAAGUCACAGUUCCCAGGGGUCAAUUCCUUCCUCAAUCCUCCCUUCUGAAUGCUGAACU